rnacentral:tRNA from 1 species
GGAGAGGUGUCCGAGCGGUUGAAGGAGCUAGUCUCGAAAACUAGUAGUGGGUUUAUCCUACUCGCGAGUUCGAAUCUCGCCCUCUCCG